GACGAACGCUGGCGGCGUGCUUAACACAUGCAAGUCGAACGGAAAGGCCCUGCUUUUGUGGGGUGCUCGAGUGGCGAACGGGUGAGUAACACGUGAGUAACCUGCCCUUGACUUUGGGAUAACUUCAGGAAACUGGGGCUAAUACCGGAUAGGAGCUCCUGCUGCAUGGUGGGGGUUGGAAAGUUUCGGCGGUUGGGGAUGGACUCGCGGCUUAUCAGCUUGUUGGUGGGGUAGUGGCUUACCAAGGCUUUGACGGGUAGCCGGCCUGAGAGGGUGACGGGCCACGUUGGGAAUGAGAUACGGCACAGACUCCUACGGGAGGCGGCAGUGGGGAAUAUUGCACAAUGGGCGGAAGCCUAAUGCGACAACGCCGCGUGCGGGAUGACGGCCUUCGGGUUGUAAACCGCUUUCGCCUGUGACGAAACGUGAGUGACGGUAAUGGGUAAAGAAGCACCGGCUAACUACGUG
rnacentral:rRNA from 1 species